rnacentral:rRNA from 1 species
UGGGGAAUAUUGGACAAUGGGCGAAAGCCUGAUCCAGCCAUGCCGCGUGUGUGAAGAAGGUCUUCGGAUUGUAAAGCACUUUAAGUUGGGAGGAAGGGCAGUAAGCGAAUACCUUGCUGUUUUGACGUUACCGACAGAAUAAGCACCGGCUAACUCUGUGCCAGCAGCCGCGGUAAUACAGAGGGUGCAAGCGUUAAUCGGAAUUACUGGGCGUAAAGCGCGCGUAGGUGGUUCGUUAAGUUGAAUGUGAAAGCCCCGGGCUCAACCUGGGAACUGCAUCCAAAACUGGCGAGCUAGAGUAGGGCAGAGGGUGGUGGAAUUUCCUGUGUAGCGGUGAAAUGCGUAGAUAUAGGAAGGAACACCAGUGGCGAAGGUGACCACCUGGGCUCAUACUGACACUGAGGUGUGAAAGCGUGGGGAGCAAACAGG